rnacentral:lncRNA from 1 species
UGAUUAGCAAGUCGGUCAGAAACGCAAGAACCUAGUUAGCAAGUUGGCCAGACGCAAGUACUAAGUAAGAAAUUUGAUCUACACGGUCAAGAAAGGGAUCAUCCGAUCACAAGCAAGAUAGGCAAGAAAAGCAAGGCGAGAAAGAAAGGAGGCAUGACAGAAAAAGAAGGAAGUGCAUCAACGUCACUCCACGAGCAAGGGAAUUUAUGAUGGAAACAAUCUUGAAGGCAUAUAGUCUUUGGGAAACAGUUGUUUCAACGGAAGGGAUAAACGAAAAGAAGGCGCACACAACGAAAGCACUUAUCUUCCAAACGUUACCGGAAGAUGUUUUGAUGCAAGUUGCGCAAUACGAAAAAGCAAAGGAAGUAUGGGAUGCAAUCAAAGUUCGUUAUCUCGGAGCAGAUAUGGUUCAGAAAGCACGUCUACAAACUUUGAGGAGCGAACCGGAAGUUUUAAAGAUGGAUGAGAACGAAACAGUAAGUAGUUACGCAAGCAAGUUGAGUGGUAUAAAAGCCAAAUUUAA